AUCGCUUCUCGAGCUUUUUAGCUCAGAUCAAAGUGUAGUAUCUGUUCUUAUCAGCUUAAUCUCUGGUAUAAUCAUCAUUGAUGAUUUUGAGAUUAGAUGAUUUUUGGGACCUGAAUGAUUGUUGAGGCUUGCCUCACACCAUUCACUGGUCGGCCCGGUCUUGCACUUGACUCCGGGAACGGCCUAAAAUAA
rnacentral:snRNA from 1 species